rnacentral:rRNA from 1 species
ACGGCGAGUGAAGCGGCAAAAGCUCAAAUUUUAAAGCUGACAUCUUCGGUGUCCGCGUUGUAAUUUUGUGAGGCAUCUCCGGGUAGGGCGCCGGCCUAAGUUCCUUGGAACAGGACGUCACAGAGGGUGAGAAUCCCGUGCUUGGCUGGCUGUCCCCGUCCAUGUGAGGUGUCUUCGACGAGUCGAGUUGUUUGGGAAUGCAGCUCAAAAUGGGUGGUAAAUUUCAUCUAAAGCUAAAUAUUGGUGGGAGACCGAUAGCGCACAAGUAGAGUGAUCGAAAGAUGAAAAGCACUUUGAAAAUAGAGUUAAAAAGUACGUGAAAUUGUUGAAAGGGAAGCGCUUGAGACCAGACUUCGGUAAGGGGUGAUCAGCCGUCCUUUUGGGCGGUGCACUUGCCCCCCUCCGGGCCAGCAUCGGUUGAGGCGGCGGGAUAAAGGUCCCGGGAAUGUGGCUCCUUCACGGGAGUGUUAUAGCCCGGGUGAAUGCCGCCAGCUUCGACCGAGGACCGCACCCGCAAGGGUUAGGAUGCUUG